UAACCUGCCCAAGAGACUGGGAUAACACCUGGAAACAGAUGCUAAUACCGGAUAACAACACUAGACGCAUGUCUAGAGUUUAAACGAUGGUUCUGCUAUCACUCUUGGAUGGACCUGCGGUGCAUUAGCUAGUUGGUAAGGUAACGGCUUACCAAGGCAAUGAUGCAUAGCCGAGUUGAGAGACUGAUCGGCCACAUUGGGACUGAGACACGGCCCAAACUCCUACGGGAGGCAGCAG
rnacentral:rRNA from 1 species